rnacentral:rRNA from 1 species
GUUAUGGUUCCUUAGAUCGUACAACUCCUACAUGGAUAACUGUGGCAAUUCUAGAGCUAAUACAUGACGUUACGAGCUCCGACCCCUCCCUCUUUCCUUAAACCGCCUGUCGCUUUCGAGUGGGGGUGGCGGUAGGGCUGGGGGCUAGGUGGGGAAGAGCGCUUUUAUUAGAUCAAGACCAGUAACCGGCUUCACGGCCGGUUCCCCUUGGUGACUCUGGAUAACUUUGUGCUGAUCGCACGGCCCCGGCGCUGGCGACGUAUCUUUCAAAUGUCUGCCCUAUCAACUGUCGAUGGUACGUGAUAUGCCUACCAUGGUUUUUACGGGUAACGGGGAAUCAGGGUUCGAUUCCGGAGAAGGAGCAUGAGAAACGGCUACCACAUCCAAGGAAGGCAGCAGGCGCGCAAAUUACCCACUCCUGGCACGGGGAGGUAGUGACGAAAAAUAACAAUACGGGACUCUUUCGAGGCCCCGUAAUUGGAAUGAGUACACUUUAAAUCCUUUAACGAGGAUCUAUUGGAGGGCAAGUCUGGUGCCAGCAGCCGCGGUAAUUCCAGCUCCAAUAGCGUAUAUUAAAGUUGUUGCAGUUAAAAAGCUCGUAGUUGGAUCUGAGGUGCCGGCUCGCGGUCCACUUCACGGUGCUGACUGCCCGUUCGGCGCCUACCAACCGGUUGUUGGAAAGUUCCCUUGGUGCUCUUCGUUGAGUGUCUCGGGCGGCCGGAACGUUUACUUUGAAAAAAUUAGAGUGUUCAAAGCAGGCAGCUGUGGCCUGAAUAAUGGUGCAUGGAAUAAUGGAAUAGGACCUCGGUUCCUAUUGUGUUGGUUUUCGGAGCUCGAGGUAAUGAUUAAGAGGGACAGACGGGGGCAUUCGUAUUACGGUGUUAGAGGUGAAAUUCUUGGAUCGCCGUAAGACGAACUACUGCGAAAGCAUUUGCCAAGAAUGUUUUCAUUAGUCAAGAACGAAAGUCAGAGGUUCGAAGACGAUCAGAUACCGUCCUAGUUCUGACCAUAAACGAUGCCAACUGGAGAUCCGCCGGCGUUGAUUUUUCACCGACCCGGCGGGCAUCCUCUGGGAAACCGUCAAGUGUAUGGGUUCCGGGGGAAGUAUGGUUGCAAAGCUGAAACUUAAAGGAAUUGACGGAAGGGCACCACCAGGACUGGAGCAUGCGGUUUAAUUUGACUCAACCCGGGGAACCUUUUCCGGCCCGGACACCGCGAGGAUUGACAGAUUGAUAGCUCUUUCUUGAUUCGGUGGGUGGUGGUGCAUGGCC